UCGGAUUGCAGUCUGCAACUCGAGUGCAUGAAGCUGGAAUCGCUAGUAAUCGCGGAUCAGAAUGCCGCGGUGAAUACGUUCCCGGGUCUUGUACACACCGCCCGUCACACCAUGGGAGUCGGGAAUGCCCGAAGCCGGUGGCCCAACCUUAGGGAGGGAGCAGCCGAAGGCAGGUCGGAUGACUGGGGUGAAGUCGUAACAAGGUACC
rnacentral:rRNA from 1 species